GUUGGCUGUUUUAUGUGUGGAUUAAUUGUCGGAGUAGAGGAUCUUGUGCAUUUCAGUUCAGUCCUGAGAAGCCUGUGAGAUCAGAGACUGAAGAAGCCGUCCCUUAAAGACAAGGUCCACGGUGUCGUCCUUGUAGUGGAUUCUUCUAAAAGGUGUCCAGCUACACCAAAGGCUUAGGCACCACCUGCCAACAGCCCAGAGAACACAUCAGUGACCUGGGCUUCUUUUUUACUUCUUUGGACUUUAUAUGGCGGUUGGCAACCAACUUUAACGUGCAUUACGACAACUGACUGGAGUGUGGACGUCAGUUCAUC
rnacentral:lncRNA from 1 species